AUUGAACGCUGGCGGCAGGCCUAACACAUGCAAGUCGAGCGGAUGAAUGGAGCUUGCUCCUGGAUUCAGCGGCGGCCGGGUGAGUAAUGCCUAGGAAUCUGCCUGGUCGUGGGGGAUAACGUCCGGAAACGGGCGCUAAUACCGCAUACGUCCUGAGGGAGAAAGUGGGGGAGCUUCGGACCUCACGCUAUCAGAUGAGCCUAGGUCGGAUUAGCUAGUUGGUGGGGUAAAGGCCUACCAAGGCGACGAUCCGUAACUGGUCUGAGAGGAUGAUCAGUCACACUGGAACUGAGACACGGUCCAGACUCCUACGGGAGGCAGCAGUGGGGAAUAUUGGACAAAGGGCGAAAGCCUGAUCCAGCCAUGCCGCGUGUGUGAAGAAGGUCUUCGGAUUGUAAAGCACUUUAAGUUGGGAGGAAGGGCAGUAAGUUAAUACCUUGCUGUUUUGACGUUACCAACAGAAUAAGCACCGGCUAACUUCGUG
rnacentral:rRNA from 1 species